rnacentral:lncRNA from 1 species
UGCUGCUCAUUAUUGAUAUGUAAUUUAUCUGGAUUCAUCUGUUUUUUGUUUACGACAGCUAAUGAGACUCCAAAGCUGUCUGAUCUCUUUCUAAACUGUUUCAUGUGUGAAAAAAUAUAUUUAUUAAAUUUAUAAAUAUAUCAUCGAGUACAGAUCGAAUUCAAUUGAAUAAUUACAUCUAUUUUAAAUUAGCAUACCUCUUGCAGACACAAGGAUACGAUUUCUGCAUCGGACACUAUCUUAUAUAUCACAUUACGAAGAGCAGCAAGAAACUCGUUAUCCAUAUCUAUCUCAAGAAUGGUAUACUGGAGUCUCGAAUUCAAAUAGUAAAC